rnacentral:rRNA from 1 species
GCAAUACGGAGCGGCAGACGGGAGAGUAACACGUGGGAACGUGCCCUUCAGUUCGGAACAACCCAGGGAAACUUGGGCUAAUACCGGAUACGUCCGUAAGGAGAAAGAUUUAUCGCUGAAGGAUCGGCCCGCGUUGGAUUAGCUAGUUGGUAGGGUAAUGGCCUACCAAGGCAACGAUCCAUAGCUGGUCUGAGAGGAUGAUCAGCCACACUGGGACUGAGACACGGCCCAGACUCCUACGGGAGGCAGCAGUGGGGAAUAUUGGACAAUGGGCGCAAGCCUGAUCCAGCCAUGCCGCGUGAGUGAAGAAGGCCUUAGGG